GGGUGCGCAAUGUUACAGUUGUUAUGCGCCCUUUCACUUUUGAAAAUUGAACACGCAGUUGUUGAAGACGGAUUUCGAAAGAUAUUCUGUGGACAUUACUGAGUUAAGGGAAGCCUGAGGUGGAGGGACUUGAAGAACAGAGCUGGAGACGACAGAAUUAGACAAGUCAUUCAUUGACACAUCACAAGAAGCAGAUAAAUCUCCUGGAAGUACGGACAUCGCAGAGGAAGUAGCGGUAGAAUUACAGGAGGGUUUUCAAGGACGCCUCGCUCCGAUGCCCCGACAUAAACAUUAUUUGCCGUGCUUGGAAACCUGCAUCACUCAUGGCUGUGAUGGCUGUGGCACGGAGGCAGUGUGGUGUGUAGGUCCUCAAGCAUUUUGACGAUUUACAUAUAUCGGCCAUGAAUCCAGUGAAAGACCUUUUUGCUAAAGGUUUAGCACUGUACCACACAUCUUGCAGACCAGGAAGAGAGAGAGCUUCCUUGAAACAGGUAUUGAAAAGAAGGAGCCUCAUGACAUCCAAUGCCUCCCUGGAAAUUUUUUUGUUGUGUUUCGUGUCUGAGGGUGGCAUAUUCCAGGCCAUUUUCAUCUUUUGAGAAAUUGAACGAGUCCUUGCGGAUCUGAUGGUGGAAUUCUAAGCCACGGGAAAUGAAAUGAAUGGACAAGUUGUACCACACACAUUGUCGGAGAACAACAGGGGAGGAUGAAGCACAUUUGAAAUAGGUAGAGAUUCUCUGUAAAUCCUCAGUGUGGAUUACUUCUUUGUGAUUUGUGGCCCUUGAUGCCCCAGUUUUUGUCAUGCAUUUCAACAUCCCAUCAAGGGUAUGAUUGGCAGAUUUAAAUUCUUUGUCUCUGACGACAUCAAUUGACCUACCCAAAUCCUGCAGGUGUCUAUUUAUGGCAGAUCGGAGACUUUUCAAAGAAUUUUUGUGAUUGCCUUGAAUCCUGGAAAUUCUGCAAUUCAUCCCCAGAAACAGAUUUGAAUCUCUUUGCUGGUGGGGGUGUAGGAACAGGCACCCCGGGACAUGGCAGACCCUCCAUAUCUGAGACUUUCAGUUCCUGUUCCAUUUCUUCAGUUUCCUCAACACUCAGAGGUGCCAUAAAGGAAAGGUCUAGUGAUGCAAAUAUGUCAUCAUCUAGCAGAAGGUAUAAUUCUGCGUCACCCAUAUCAAAAUCGCCAAAUUCAGCCAUUAUAGAGACUAGAGUGACCUGGGGUCAGUGUAGCAGACGGGAAUUUAGAAAAACAUAAGUAAGAAAUUGUUUUGUAGAAAUGUUUUAUAAUUGUUCG